GGAUUCAUAAUUUUUCCUCUUACAUCUGGAAAGGGAGGAACCCCACAAGACUGUGAUUUAGAUCAGUCCCUGGAGCAAGAAAGCUGAGCAGAAGCAACAAAUCAGCAUUCCUGAAACCUCUCCUGGUACCUGAGGUACCUUAGCUCUGGAGCAGAGGAACGUUCUGACAAGUACUGAACCCUGAGCAGAGCUCCCUGCAUCCAGGAGAAACCCAGGAAUUUCAAAAUAUAGCUAAGCUUCAUUUUGCUGGGCUGGCUCCCUGCAGAUGCCCACCCAUCACUGCUCGCCUGGUCUCUGCUGGAGGAGAGGUUCCAGUAGCCAAGGGCCAAGUGAUGCUGGUGGCUGGAGACCAUGGAAACUGACAAGAGGAAGACACACACCUUCAGGCUGCUUGGAAGGGAAUCUGGAUGUAAAAUAACUAAGAUUGCCCCUGAAGCCCCUUUCAGAAAGGACACCCUACUGGCUGUUUUCUGUUCCCUUGGUGAGGGGGAGAAGAACCAAAGAAGAACCUCCAAAAAGAAAAUACACCAUAAGGAAUGUUCAAGGCUCAGAGGCUUCUGAAGCUGAUAGUUCACUCCAUCAAAGGACAAUGCACAUUGAUGGGUUGAAUUCCCACAUGGAUGGGCUGCACCAACCCAAAGGCCAGGCUUUGAUGGCCUAAGCCAUGGCCAGGCUGGAGCACUCAGAGCUGGUAGGACAGCACAGGUAGGAGCUGCCUAUUACUGUUACCUGUUAGGGUUUUGCAUCCCAUUGAAAAUCAGGGAACCAGCAAUCAGACAGGAAUUGGGUGUGCUGUCAGUCAUUCUGCAUGACUUUUUUCCAAGGAGAAACAAAAAAAAAGUGCCUGAAGAUCCAGCCCCAGUGGGCCACUAGACAAAGCCCAUCAGAGUGGGGAGGGGCCACAGUUACAAUGGUAGAUUGUAAUAGAUAGUUACAAUGGUUGUUCUGUCACCCAAACCUUACAGCUGAACCUUGAGGACUAUCAAAUCCAUUAUAAAGCUUUUCUUUUCCAACUACCUUGAAACUGCACUAUUAGUAGCUAUUAUGUACUUGUAAUUUGUAUUUUGAAUAGUAAAGUCUAAAUUGUAACUGUUCACAGGAUAUCAAAUACAAUUGUUAUGGCAUUGUUGCUCUUUUCUUAUUUCUCCUUUUGAAGCCCAUUUUGUACAACUUGCCCCUCCACCCACUCGCCUGUGCUGAAUCUCAGAGCCAGUCAGAGCACAUGAUAACAGCAGGCUCUGGCCUGACAUAAUGCACACAAAAACACUGUUCCCAUGUCAGUGGCAACUAAUGCCAGAUCAUACUCUGACCCUGGGGAAAUUGAGAUUUGUUAUCAGGAUGACUAUUUGCACUCCCCAGUUUCUGCC
rnacentral:lncRNA from 1 species